rnacentral:rRNA from 1 species
UUGGAGGGCAAGUCUGGUGCCAGCAGCCGCGGUAAUUCCAGCUCCAAUAGCGUAUAUUAAAGUUGUUGCAGUUAAAAAGCUCGUAGUUGAAUUUCGGGAUCAAUUUGCUGGUCGUGCCUCUGGUACGUACUGGUAUUAUUGGUUUCUCCCUUCUGACGAACCAUGAUGUCAUUAAUUUGAUGUCGUGGAGAAUCAGGACUGUUACCUUGAAAAAAUUAGAGUGUUUAAAGCAGGCAUUAGCUUGAAUACAUUAGCAUGGAAUAAUGAAAUAGGACGUUUGAUCCUAUUUUGUUGGUUUCUAGGAUUGACGUAAUGAUUAAUAGGGAUAGUUGGGGGCAUUAGUAUUCAAUUGUCAGAGGUGAAAUUCUUGGAUUUAUUGAAGACUAACUACUGCGAAAGCAUUUGCCAAGGAUGUUUUCAUUAAUCAAGAACGAAAGUUAGGGGAUCGAAGACGAUCAGAUACCGUCGUAGUCUUAACCAUAAACUAUGCCGACUAGGGAUCGGAUGAUGUUAAUCUUUUAAUGACCCAUUCGGCGCCUUACGGGAAACCAAAGUGUUUGGGUUC